UCUACAAAAGAUUAUAAUAUGAUUCCAAUUAGGUUGGAAAUUAGACUUCUAGAUCUUUUCAAAGACAUAUUAUAUGAAUUAUUUCAACUUCUGGAUCAAAAGAUAUGCUAAAAAACAAAAUCCGCAAAAAGCUGUCUCAUCGCUCCGCGAUGGCUCCAGUUUUAUUCCAAUAAUUCGAAUUCAUUGUAAUCCCCCAUAUUUUCAACUUACUUAAGGUAUAUUUAUUUAUUAUUUAUAUUAAUUUUAUAAUAUGAAUUAUUUUGAUGUAAAAACAAUAAGAUUUUAAAGCUAAAACUAUUAAGUGUUUAAUUUAAAUCAUAAUCCCUUUUAAAUUUACUAGCCCACUACUUAAAUCUUACUCAAGCCCAAACCAAUCCUACUCCUACUUGGAUUAGGAGAGUUAAGCCCAUACCCUUACAAAAAUAUAAAAACACCAAACCCUCACACUCUUCCUCUCUCACGUAAAAAAAAAAAAAAAAAAAAGGAAAACCCCCUCAUUCCUAUUCUCCUCUUCACGUGAUUCACAAGAGAAAAAAAAACACAUUGAAGCUGCUGCCCUGAAGCCCAGCCACCUGCACCGCCGCCCCCUCAUCAGCCACCGCUGCGCCGCCCUACCCUGCUGCCGCCGUCCUCCAGCCACCCCUGCAGUAGAGAGGAUUUUGUAGAAGGCGACUUCUAGUUUCUAAAGUGGCCAACCGAAUCGUUUACACAAGGUACUCAUAGGAUUAAAGAGAGAAUUAUUGGGGUGUUACAGACUAACCCCAGCUUCUUACACCAGCAGCAUUCGUAUCUAGGUGGUGGCAUCUUGAGUGGAGUGUUGGUUGCUUUUCUCAUUUUAAUUGCUAUUUACUUCUGAAGUUACUUAAACUCGAUUUCAUUUUUAUUCUACUUCUAUUGGUUUGAGUUUUGAAUAAGGGCCUUAAUGGUUCCAAGUUGUAAGACUUAAUUUGGUUUUGUUUGUUGGUUUUGAUACUUAUUUAUAACUGAUUCAAUUUUUCCGCUGCUAAUUUCUGAUUAUAUAGCCUUAAGGUUUGAACAUGUUGCGGUAACACGCCAGUAAUUCUCUUAAAUAUAGUUUAGGGUACUCACAGGUUUGAAGAGAGAAUUAUUGGGGUGUUACAUUCUAACUCUAUUUUAUUGUUUUCGAUCAUUUUUCUCUAUAUAUAGGGUCUUUUUCCCUGUUUUCAAUCAUCAACAAUCCUCUAAUUCUAUUCUCUUCUCUCUAUUAAGAAAUAGCUUAUUCU